CAUUCCAAUCCCCAGCAAUGUUAACCUGCAGAAGGAAAGGCCAGUUUGUAUGUCCUUCACACUCGAAGGUCACAGAGAUUAUUAUGAAAAAGACCCAUCCCCAGCAAAGUCAACCUGCAAAAGGAAGGGAGCGUCCGCAUGUCCUUCUCACUAGAAGAUCACGGAGACCAUUACGAAAACGCGUCAUGUGGUUUAGAGUUUGGACCCACCCCCAGCAACCUGCAGAAG